CAACCGGUCUCGUUGGUGACCAGCGGAGGGACAUUACCGAGUUUACAACUCCCAAACCCAAUGUGAACGUUACCAAACUGUUGCCUCGGCGGGAUCUCUGCCCCGGGUGCGUCGCAGCCCCGGACCAAGGCGCCCGCCGGAGGACCAACCAAAACUCUUAUUGUAUACCCCCUCGCGGGUUUUUUUAUAAUCUGAGCCUUCUCGGCGCCUCUCGUAGGCGUUUCGAAAAUGAAUCAAAACUUUCAACAACGGAUCUCUUGGUUCUGGCAUCGAUGAAGAACGCAGCGAAAUGCGAUAAGUAAUGUGAAUUGCAGAAUUCAGUGAAUCAUCGAAUCUUUGAACGCACAUUGCGCCCGCCAGUAUUCUGGCGGGCAUGCCUGUCCGAGCGUCAUUUCAACCCUCGAACCCCUCCGGGGGGUCGGCGUUGGGGAUCGGCCCUGCCUUGGCGGUGGCCGUCUCCGAAAUACAGUGGCGGUCUCGCCGCGGCCUCUCCUGCGCAGUAGUUUGCACACUCGCAUCGGGAGCGCGGCGCGUCCACAGCCGUUAAACACCCAACUUCUGAAAUGUUGACCUCGGAUCAGGUAGGAAUACCCGCUGAACUUAAGCAUAUCAAUAAGCGGAGGA
rnacentral:rRNA from 1 species